rnacentral:rRNA from 1 species
CCUACGGGUGGCAGCAGUGAGGAAUAUUGGUCAAUGGACGCAAGUCUGAACCAGCCAUGCCGCGUGCAGGAAGACGGCUCUAUGAGUUGUAAACUGCUUUUGUACGAGGGUAAACGCAGAUACGCGUAUCUUUCUGAAAGUAUCGUACGAAUAAGGAUCGGCUAACUCCGUGCCAGCAGCCGCGGUAAUACGGAGGAUUCAAGCGUUAUCCGGAUUUAUUGGGGUUAAAGGGUGCGUAGGCGGUCGGAUAAGUUAGGGGUGAAAUCCCGAGGCUCAACUUCGGAAUUGCCUGUGAUACUGUUCGGCUAGAGAGUAGUUGCGGUAGGCGGAAUGUAUGGUGUAGCGGUGAAAUGCUUAGAGAUCAUACAGAACACCGAUUGCGAAGGCAGCUUACCAAGCUACUUCUGACGUUGAGGCACGAAAGCGUGGGUAGCAAACAGGAUUAGAUACCCCAGUAGUC